AUUGAAUGCUGGCGGCAGGCCUAACACAUGCAAGUCGAGCGGAUGAAGGGAGCUUGCUCCUGGAUUCAGCGGCGGACGGGUGAGUAAUGCCUAGGAAUCUGCCUGGUAGUGGGGGAUAACGUCCGGAAACGGGCGCUAAUACCGCAUACGUCCUGAGGGAGAAAGUGGGGGAUCUUCGGACCUCACGCUAUCAGAUGAGCCUAGGUCGGAUUAGCUAGUUGGUGGGGUAAAGGCCUACCAAGGCGACGAUCCGUAACUGGUCUGAGAGGAUGAUCAGUCACACUGGAACUGAAACACGGUCCAGACUCCUACGGGAGGCAGCAGUGGGGAAUAUUGGACAAUGGGCGAAAGCCUGGUCCAACCAUGCCGCGUGUGUGACAAAGGUCUUCGGAUUGUAAGGCACUUUAAGUUGGGAGGAAGGGCAGUAAGUUAAUACCUUGCUGUUUUGACGUUACCAACAGAAUAAGCACCGGCUAACUUCGUG
rnacentral:rRNA from 1 species